UCUGGUAAGGAAAGCUGGGUGAAAUAGCUAAACUGGGCAGGUGAAUUGCGAGCUGCCAGAGCACUCUGUAGGGAAACACCCAUGGAAAACCCAUAAAUGCCUGCAAAGUGGAGAGGUUAAUUCCACAGUAAAAUUGCAUACUGCUGCGUCUCAUCUCACGGAGCCUCAGAAUCAAUUCCUCCUCUUCUUCUUCUUUCUUUGCUUCGUCAAAGGUCCCAAGGCCCCCCGGUCCCUCCAAAGCGCCCAGAGAAACAGCAGCAGGCGUCACAGAAGAGCGGUCCUGGAGAGGAAGAAGAGGAUGAAGAGUACACCUAUGAAGUCCCACCAAGUGAAACACAGAACAAAAAAAUUGCUGCAACCAACCAGCAGGAGGCAGUAGAGGCCAUCUAUAUUGGUAAGGUGACAGAAGUGCUGGGUACUCGUUUAAUGUGGGUUUUCCAACCACCACAUAAAAAGGUUUAGGG
rnacentral:lncRNA from 1 species